CUCCUCGCGGGCUGCCUAGGCUUCCAUGUAGAAUAUAUCUCCUUUAGCAGACCCCAGUGAGCCACUUCUUCCACCAGAUAUAUCUUCUGGGUUGGUGGAGGGACAGGCUGCUUGGCCCAGGGGGAACCAGCACGAGUGGCUGCAGAUGAAGGACGUGCCGAGUGCCAUCCAUCACAGGCUCUGUAGGGCCAGGGAAGACCCGCUGGCUGUUUGUCAGCCUGCCCCACCACAUUUUACCAGGUGGCACCCUCCUUCCCUUAAUUAUUGUCAUUAUUAUUACUAGCUUUCUCCAGACAUAACUGGGUCCAAGAUCUCUGUGGUGCCAAGAGCUCAGCUAACUCUCUGCAUUGAGAGUGUUCCAAGUCUGAGCUUUUCUUCCCUUUGCAAACAUUACAGAUGAAUGAAGUGCUCUGUUCCCUCAUUUGUUUUACCUCUUCCAGCGCAGGAUGGCUCCAGCUUCAUGUAGAGGAGGGAAGAGCAGGAGGAGGAGGGGGAGGAAGCACAUCACAUCAGAGGGCUGGACGUGCCUCCAGACUCCUGCUCCCAGGGGACUGCCUGAAUGAAUGGCUCAUGAUCUGCUCCAUUAUCCUCGGAUAAUCUGCCAAUUGUCUCUUUAAACCCUUGCACCUGCACGUUGAUGUCUGCAAAACAUUCUCGUUGUUUUACUGGUGUUUGCCAGCAGGAGCUACAGGAGGGACCUCACUUGGUUUCCAAGUUGAUGUGGUCUGUCACGAAGAGCACCGAAAAGCCUGUGGACUCAUCCUGGGUGGAUUUGUGCCUCUCACUGGACAACAACUCCCAUGCCAGAAUUCAGCACUUCUCUGAGAAAGCUGCACUGGGUGAGCCAGUCCUGCCCAUUUC
rnacentral:lncRNA from 1 species